rnacentral:lncRNA from 1 species
UGGGAGUGGGUGUGGGUUUGGUUGAGACUGAAGAAGGGUAGAUGAACUCAGUCACCUUGAAGGAAGCUUGAAAGUAGGUCGGAGAAAUCACAAGGUGAAAGCCAUUUUAUGGGACUUUUUCCUUGCAAGACUAAUGGAGGCAGAAAGGAAGCUUGGAGUAUAAAUUCCCAGUGGAACAGUGAGGCUGAGCACAAAGUGCUAACAGGAUGGGGUCUGUUGGAACCCUGCCCUCCAAGAAGAAGUAGAUCGGUUUCUCCGGAUGUCCCUGGAGUCGGUCUCCUCAGCUCCCCCGAAACUUCCGUUUAUCAUGAUCGCGUCUGUCGUCAACCUGCCAGUCACGUCUUUUCAAUGUCACCCGGACCCCUUUAAAGAAUGUAGAAGAGUUGAAGUCUGCGGUGCCAUUUGGCAUUCCAAUUCCAACAUAAAACCUAACGACUAAGCAGAAGAGCCGAGAGAUGAUUCUGGGAGAGUAAAAAGCGGAGACCACACUUCCUAGUUGAAAACGCUACCGUACAGCAGAUGCAAUUCAGCCGACCCAGCUGCUCUGAGAACCAAAUGUGCCUUUCAAACAGUAGCUAUCAACUGCUUUGUGUUAACAUCCAUCUAUCAAUGCACGCUUGAUUUUGAUUGAGGUAUUCUUAAAUGCUUCAAAGGGAAAGAACAUUUUAUCCUUUCAGGAGACUUCCGGGUAUGUCGAUUUAGUCAAAUCCCACCAUCACCAUUUGGGACUUGUUAUUCCCAUUUUCCAGAUUUACAGAAACCGACAUGGAGAUUUAAGUUAUUCCUGAGCGGGUGGGAGGCCCCAUUCUUGAGAGUUGGAGAUGUGAAUAUACACAGGGAAAAGGCUAGCAAACAGUCUAAAUAGAAGGGAAACGGGCAGUAGGAACAAAUCGGUUACGAAGAGGAUGGUGUACGAAGCCAUCGGUAUCAGUUUUCAACAGGGUCAAUCAAUUAAUUGAUGGAAUCGAGUAGUUACUGUGGCCGGGGGCACUGUAAUGAGUGCUUGGAAGGGUACAAUCAAUACAGUAAGGUUGGUUGUCUCUAGACUGUAAUCUCAUUAUGGGCAGGGAACAGGUUUACCAACUCUGCGAUCACACAGCAGACAGAUGGCAGAGUUGGGAUUAGAACCCAUGAUUUUCUGACUCCCAGGCCACUGCUCUAUCCACUACACCAUGCUGCUGCUGUUGCUGAAACACAUGAUACCACCCUACAAGGAUCUUAUAGUCUUGAAAGAGAGACAGACAUUUAAAUAAAUUACAGACAGGAGAAAUGGGAGAGUAUAAAAAUAUGCACAUAGGUGCGAUGGGGCAGAGGGUGGAGUGAUUAUCAAGUGCUUAGGGGGUAUAGAUCCAAAUGCAUAGGUGAUGCAGAAGAGAGGGUGAGGAGGAGAAAAGAGGGCUUAGUCUCAGAAGUCCUCUUGGAGGAGAUGGGAUUUUAGAUCUUCCUUCUCUGUCACCUAGCUAUGUACGUGGAUCUGUGUCCUUGGAGCGUGGCUCAGUGGAAAGAGCCCGGGCUUGGGAGUCAGAGAUCAUGGGUUUGAAUCCCGGCUCUGCCACUUGUCAGCUGUGUGACUAUGGGCAAGUCACUUAACUUCUCUGUGCCUCAGUGACCUCGUCUGGAAAAUGGGGAUUAAGACUGUGAGCCUCACGUGGGACAACCUGAUGACCCUGUAUCUACCCCAGCGCUUAGAACAGUGCUCUGCACAUAGUAAGCGCUUAACAAAUACCAACAUUAUUAUUAUUAUUAUUCACCCCACCCUCAGCACUUAUGUACAUAUCUAUUGAGAAGCAGCGUGGCGCAGUGGAAAGAGCACGGGCUUUGGAGUCAGGGCUUAUGAGUUCGAAUCCCAGCUCUGCCACUUGUCAGCUGUGUGACUGUGGGCAAGUCACUUAACUUCUCUGUGCCUCAGUUCCCUCAUCUGUAAAAUGGGGAUUAAGACUGUGAGCCCCACGUGGGACAACCUGAUUCCCCUGUGUCUACCCCAGCGCUUAGAACAGUGCUCUGCACAUAGUAAGCGCUUAACAAAUACCAACAUUAUUAUUAUUAUUACUUAUAUUAAUGUCUGCCUACUCCUCUAGACUGUAAGCUCCUUGUGAGCAGGGAACGUGUCUACCAACUCUGUCGUACUCUCCCAAGUACUUAUACAGUGCUCUGCACACUGUAAGUGCUCAAUAAAUGCCAUUGAUUGAUUGAUAGUAGAGUUUUGAAGCAGGGGAGAGUGGUGACUUUUAGGAUGUGAAGGAGGAGGGAGUUGGGCCGGGAAAGCAUGUGGGCAAAGGGUGGUGGUGAGACCGAUGAGAUGGAGGUACAGUCAAUAGGUUGGCAUUAGAGGAGUAAAAUUCAUUCAAUAGUAUUUAUUGAGGGCUUACUAUGUGCAGAGCACUGAACUAAGCGCUUGGAAUGUACAAAUCGGCAACAGAUAGAGACAGUCCCUGCCCUUUGACGGGCUUACAGUCUAAUCGAACCGUAAUGAAGUUCAGUAAAGGACGAACUGGCCACAUCAAGGCAAAAUGUGCGGACUGGAUUGUUGUGGGAGCUUGGAGAGGCUAGGUAGGGUGGGGAAAGUUGAAUAAAGGCCUUAAAACUUAUGGUAAGGAGUUUUUCUUUGUUGUGGAGGUGGAUGAGCAGGCAUUGGAGAUUUUCUGAGAAAUGGGAGACGUGGGCUGAAUUUUAUUUCAGGAAGAGAUCCAGUUUCCCCUACCUGUAGUUUAUUUAGAUGUUCAUUUUUCCCAUUAGGCUGUAAGCUCCGUGACAGCAAGGGUCAUGUCUUCUCCCCAUCCAGACUGUAAGUUCAUGGGCAGGGAUUGUGUCUGCAAAUUUUGUUAUACUGUACUCUCUCAAGCGCUCAGAACAAUGCCUGGCACAUAGUAAAUGCUUAACAAAUACCAUUAAAAAAGCAAAGCUCAGCAAACAAUAAGCACUAAAUAAAUACCACUAAUGAAUGAAUUGAUUGAUUCCAACUGUAUUGUACUCUCCCAAGCAUUUAGUACAGGGUUUUUCACAAAAUAAGCACUCAAGUAAUACUAUCGAUUGAUCGAACCUUGUAACAUUAAGAAUGCUAGUGUGGCUACUGGGUUGAGGACUUAUUACUAUUAUUUAUAAUAACAACGGGUAUGACUAUUUGUUUUGCAUUUCCUACAUACUAAAUGCUAGGAUAGACGCAAUAUAAUCAUUACAGUUGGUC